CGAAUGGUAUGCGACAGUUUUUGUAAGAGUCAAGUAGCCGCCUGUUAUCUCUCGCUCGGACUUCUGAAUGAUAUCCUCUAGUACGUUUAAUAUUUAUGUAUGUAACCAGGUAUAUGUGUUUCAUUUAAUCUUGUGCCUUGUUGUUGGUGUUUUAUGUGGUGUGUAUGUUGUGUAAACUCUACAUGAUUGUCUUAGCGUUUUACUUACUGUUUGUAUCCAUGUACAGAUCAAAUGUUUGGUUC
rnacentral:rRNA from 1 species